GUUGCUAAGACAACCAAACUUAUUCUUAUGUUGAUCUGCGAUGGAUUUAUCUGGUACAUGGAAUAGCAAUUUUAAAGAAAGGUGUUGGUCAGCAGUUUUUAAUUCAUUUUUGAAACAGAAGGCUGGCAUAAUUUUAUGAUGUUAUUGAUGUUUCUAAGAAUUACAAUCCUUACCUGUCUUAAACAUAACCUGUAUCCUGUGUGCUUUACCUGUCCUGUAACUUUACAACCUGAUCCUGUAAAGAUGUUUCAUCAUUAUCACUCAGGUAGUCAAUGAAACAGGUUUGUAACCUAGGCAGAUGUGAUAAUUCAUCUCUUUAUUGGAAAUCUCAGUUUUGUUAAUGUACCAUUAAUAUGAUGUACCAUUUACACUGUGUUUUUUUUUAUAAUAUCUCAAUUAACACUUGCUAUUAGUCUCACAUUCCACUGUUAUAUUGAUAUACACUAUCAUAUUUGUAAGCUAUUACACGAAGCUAUUUGUGAUGCUUUUUUUUUGCUAAAUUUUUUUUUUGGUACUUUAUUUUAUCAUCUGAUUUCAUAAAAGUAUAUAUAAAUUUUAAUUUCAUUUACAUCAAUUGUACAUACUUUCAAAAGAUGGACUAGAUUUUAGUUUUAUUUUAACCCUCAUGUAAUUAUACUUGGGUAUAUGUCCCAUGAACAGCCCUGCUCAUCACACAUAGUUUCUGGUUGUGAUUGAACCACACCUUCCUUCAGGGACCAGUAUUAUAAUUUUUCGUUCAACUGUUUUUGUUAUCUUUUUUGGAUUUCUUCCUUUGUUCUGAAUAUUUUGAAAUUUAAAUUAUGUGAAUAUAGCAAUUUAUAUAUAAUGUUCUAUUUAAAAUAUGAUAAAGUAUUGAAAUAUUCAAAUACUUUAUGAUAAUUUUUAAUGGUAAUAAAUAAUGCAGACCAUGGUUUUUUGAAUUCCAUUUUCAAAGUCUUAAUUACUAUUUUGCUGUUGGAAAGACCAUUGCGUAGAAUCAAUCAAAUAAACGCGAUGGGUGACAAAGAGAAACAUCAUUGUUGUUCUGUUGAACUGUGUGAUUAGCUGGUCGUCAGUAUUUUAGAAUUUUUUACCAGAGUGUUUUCUCUAUAGAUAUUUUUCUAAUGUUAUUUAUUUAUAUAUGUAUAUUUAAAACAGAAAAAUAAUAAAAGUGUUAAAU
rnacentral:misc_RNA from 1 species